UGGCUCUCGCAUCGAUGAAGAACGCAGCGAAAUGCGAUAAGUAAUGUGAAUUGCAGAAUUCAGUGAAUCAUCGAAUCUUUGAACGCACCUUGCGCUCCUUGGUAUUCCGAGGAGCAUGCCUGUUUGAGUGUCAUUAAAUUCUCAACCUUUAUCGGCUUUUGUUGAUAGUGGGUUGGACUUGGGGGUUUCCUUUGCUGGCUUCGGAAAAGAGGUCUGCUCCCCUUAAAUUUAUUAGCCGGUGCCCUUUGUGGACUGUCUAUUGGUGUGAUAAUUAUCUACGCCGUGGAUGUCUGCUUAAAACGAGAACGCACUGCUUCUAACCGUCCAUUUGAUUGGACAAUAAAUGACUAUUUGACCUCAAAUCAGGUAGGACUACCCGCUGA
rnacentral:misc_RNA from 1 species